GAGUCUGCAUGGAGCUCUACAAUGUGUUUAUAAACUACAGAGCGCUGUUAUAUUGUAUUAUUUUGAAAGGUCCGGGUUGUAGUGUGGUAGGAGCGCGUUGUUUUAUCCGUUCAGACACUGAGGGAGAGCAGAGAGGAGGUGAGAGAGUCUGCAUGGAGCUCUACAAUGUGUUUAUAAACUACAGAGCGCUGUUAUAUUGUAUUAUUUUGAAGGGUCCGGGUUGUAGUGUGGUAGGAGCGCGUUGUUUUAUCCGUUCAGACACUGAGGGAGAGCAGAGAGGAGGUGAGAGAGUCUGCAUGGAGCUCUACAAUGUGUUUAUAAACUACAGAGCGCUGUUAUAUUGUAUUAUUUUGAAAGGUCCGGGUUGUAGUGUGGUAGGAGCGCGUUGUUUUAUCCGUUCAGACACUGAGGGAGAGCAGAGAGGAGGUGAGAGAGUCUGCAUGGAGCUCUACAAUGUGUUUAUAAACUACAGAGCGCUGUUAUAUUGUAUUAUUUUGAAAGGUCCGGGUUGUAGUGUGGUAGGAGCGCGUUGUUUUAUCCGUUCAGACACUGAGGGAGAGCAGAGAGGAGGUGAGAGAGUCUGCAUGGAGCUCUACAAUGUGUUUAUAAACUACAGAGCGCUGUUAUAUUGUAUUAUUUUGAAGGGUCCGGGUUGUAGUGUGGUAGGAGCGCGUUGUUUUAUCCGUUCAGACACUGAGGGAGAGCAGAGAGGAGGUGAGAGAGUCUGCAUGGAGCUCUACAAUGUGUUUAUAAACUACAGAGCGCUGUUAUAUUGUAUUAUUUUGAAAGGUCCGGGUUGUAGUGUGGUAGGAGCGCGUUGUUUUAUCCGUUCAGACACUGAGGGAGAGCAGAGAGGAGGUGAGAGAGUCUGCAUGGAGCUCUACAAUGUGUUUAUAAACUACAGAGCGCUGUUAUAUUGUAUUAUUUUGAAAGGUCCGGGUUGUAGUGUGGUAGGAGCGCGUUGUUUUAUCCGUUCAGACACUGAGGGAGAGCAGAGAGGAGGUGAGAGAGUCUGCAUGGAGCUCUACAAUGUGUUUAUAAACUACAGAGCGCUGUUAUAUUGUAUUAUUUUGAAAGGUCCGGGUUGUAGUGUGGUAGGAGCGCGUUGUUUUAUCCGUUCAGACACUGAGGGAGAGCAGAGAGGAGGUGAGAGAGUCUGCAUGGAGCUCUACAAUGUGUUUAUAAACUACAGAGCGCUGUUAUAUUGUAUUAUUUUGAAAGGUCCGGGUUGUAGUGUGGUAGGAGCGCGUUGUUUUAUCCGUUCAGACACUGAGGGAGAGCAGAGAGGAGGUGAGAGAGUCUGCAUGGAGCUCUACAAUGUGUUUAUAAACUACAGAGCGCUGUUAUAUUGUAUUAUUUUGAAAGGUCCGGGUUGUAGUGUGGUAGGAGCGCGUUGUUUUAUCCGUUCAGACACUGAGGGAGAGCAGAGAGGAGUUGCAGUCUCCGUGCCGCGGGCUCAGUGCUGCUCGAGUGGCGGGUUUCCAGUCAAAAUGAACUCGUGUUGAAAACAUCUAGCGAAUCUGAAGAGAAGAAAGGACACAUUCACUGAGGAGAUGGUCAGAGUGAGUGACUGGAGCACUAGAGCCGUGCUGCACAUCCCACUGACAAUACCUGAAGACUGUCUUAUCCAGGUGAAAGCCAAGGAAAAAGAUAGUCUGUUCACAUUAAACAGGAGAUGCCUGUCCACUUUAAAGAAGAGACUGAACUGGAGCCAGAGCCUGUCCACAUUAAAGAAGAGACUGAACUGGAGCCUGUCCACAUUAAAGAGGAAGAGACUGAACUGGAGCCUGUCCACAUUAAAGAAGAGACUGAACUGGAGCCUGUCCACAUUAAAUUAGAAAAGAUUGAACUGCAGCCUGUCCACAUUGAAGAAGAAUCUAUUGACUUGUUUAAGGAUUCAGAAAACAUAUCCCAGCCACAGAUAUCACAACAAUGCACUGAAUGUGAGAAGAGCUUCAGUUCGUUAGGAUACCUAAAAAUACACCAGAGAAUUCACACUGGAGGGAAGCCAUAUCACUGUGCUGACUGUGGGAAGAGCUUCCGUCAGUUAGGAAACCUAAAAAGACACCAGAGAAUUCACACUGGAGAGAAGCCGUAUUACUGUUUUGAAUGUGGGGAGAGAUUCAAUGAGUCAGGAAACCUAAAAACACACUUGCGAAUUCACACAGGAGAGAAGCCGUAUCAGUGCUCUGACUGUGAGAAGAGCUUCCGUCGGUUAGGAGACCUAAAAAGACACCAGAGAAUUCACACUGGACGGAAGCCGUAUCACUGUGCUGACUGUGGGAAGAGCUUCAGUCAGUUAGGAUGCCUUAAAAUACACCAGCGAAUUCACACUGGAGAGAAGCCGUAUCAGUGCUCUGACUGUGAGAAGAGCUUCCGUCAGUUAGGAGACCUAAAAAGACACCAGAGAAUUCACACUGGAGAGAAGCCGUAUUACUGUUUUGAAUGUGGGGAGAGAUUCAAUGAGUCAGGAAACCUAAAAACACACUUGCGAAUUCACACUGGAGAGAAGCCGUAUCAGUGCUCUGACUGUGAGAAGAGCUUCGUUCGGUUAGGAGCCCUAAAAAGACACCAGAGAAUUCACACUGGAGGGAAGCCAUAUCACUGUGCUGACUGUGGGAAGAGCUUCCGUCAGUUAGGAAACCUAAAAACACACUUGCUAAUUCACACUGGAGAGAAGCCGUAUCACUGUUCUGACUGUGAGAAGAGCUUCUGUCAGUUAGGAGACCUAAAAAGACACCAGCGAAUUCACACUGGAGCCAGCCUCACCCCCACCCACCCCCUCCCAGUCCCUCACCCCCUCCCAGUCCCUCACCUCUCCACCCUGCUUGUUUGUGUGCGUGGAGAGCUGUCUGAUUCCUUGUCUCUCUCUCACCCUGCAGUAAAUGAAGGGGGUCCCCAGGAGUGAGAGCCAGCCUGAAUCCAGAGACACUGAGAAGGGGAGCGUGUCAAACUCAAGGAGACAGACCCAUUCUUUCAGAAUGAACUGAAGAACCCUGGGAUUCAGCUCCACUCCUGCCCCUGAAUUAAAAAUGAAUCUCGCUCAUCAUGCUGUGGAUUUAAGACAGUUACAGGGUCAUUCUACUUAUAUGUGUGAUAUGAACCCAACACAUUAAGCUGCCAAUAACAUACAUCAUUUUUAAUGUAAUUUGAGCUGCAAAUGGCAUUACUGUACCAGUGUGGGUGAGUACAGCAUAAGAUAAAGGAUUGAAUUGUUUAAAAUAAAUGAAAACUAAGAAUAUCUUCAUGGGUGUGGCAACAAUGUGUGCUUCAUCUAACUAGAAUGGCCUCUAAGCUAUUGCACCAGUGCAAACACAAGCUGUGAAGCAACGUUGUGCUUUUUAAUUAUGUGUUUUAUUUCAAGUGGUGCAAACCUUGCACUGCAGCAAACGCUGUUUUGGUUUUGAAUGAAUUUGAAUAAAAAUGUGUAUAUCCAAUUAUUAUGACGUCCCCACAAUAGUAGAGCUGUAUAAAUAUACUGUAAAACAUGAAAGGUUUGCAAGCAAACUAUUUGAACAUUUUGCAUGUGUUAAAAAUCUGCAGAACCUACAUGCUGCAACAUUACCAUUAUUACUACAUUCAUAGUUUAUACAGUUUAUGAAUAAUUGAUCUAAACAAUCUGCAGAAUGAAGUUGCCUCAGACUGUUUGACAGUAACAGAGCUGGUGCUUUUGUGGAAUCACCAUUAGCUGUUUAUUCCCUUUGGGUAAAAUAUGGCUUGUUUGCUUGUAUUUUUUAUUAGUAUGCUAUCAUUAGAAUGACCUUACAGUACAUAUUAAGGCAAGCUUAGCUAUUUAGAGAGAGUUUCAUUGAGUUUGAGAUCUUGUACGUUUUCCAUUGUCUCUGUAUAUAAAGGGUGUGUGAGAAAUUCCUAGUUGUAAUUGAAUGUUCUUUGUAAAAUUACAUUUCAAAUCUUAAACUGAGACUUCAGAUGCUGUGAUGUUAAUUAAGUUUGUCUUCCUUCCCCAUAACGUUCUCUAGAUCUACUUCAAAGGACUAGAUAUUAGUAACAGGGUGGUAAAGAUUUCCAUUGGAGAAUAGUUUAGAUUCCCUGCUGUGCUGCCCUGCCUGUCUGGUAUAAACAAACAGAGCUGAUUCUUAUCUUUAAAUUAAGACUGUCUGAAAGCAAAUACACAACUUUCUUAAGAAGUGUGACACCUGGUGGACACGAGCUGUCAUCACUCUCCCAUGAAAUUAAUUAUCAUGAAACACUGAACAUUAAUGUGAAUAUAAUUCCUAAUUUCCUUAUCUAAAAGUGAAUUGAAAAAAAAAGCCUUUACGGGGGUAUAAUAUUAACUUGUUUAACAAUCUCUGGGUUUUAGAUUUACUAAAACUAUUAGACUGAAAUGUAACAGAAGUAAAACUUACUGAUCAAUUGGUUUUAUUAUUUCAAUUACUAAUCUUGCACAUGCAAGUUUAAGAGUUGUUUAAGUGUGUUUUCCCAAUAAAAUUGAAAGGUUUAUUGCA